AACGCUGGCGGCAGGCCUAACCCAUGCAAGUCGAGCGGAUGAAGGGAGCUUGCUCCUGGCUUCAGCGGCGGACGGGUGAGUAAUGCCUAGGAAUCUGCCUGGUAGUGGGGGAUAACGUCCGGAAACGGGCGCUAAUACCGCAUACGUCCUGAGGGAGAAAGUGGGGGAUCUUCGGACCUCACGCUAUCAGAUGAGCCUAGGUCGGAUUAGCUAGUUGGUGGGGUAAAGGCCUACCAAGGCGACGAUCCGUAACUGGUCUGAGAGGAUGAUCAGUCACACUGGAGCUGAGACACGGUCCAGACUCCUACGGGAGGCAGCAGUGGGGAAUAUUGGACAAUGGGCGAAAGCCUGAUCCAGCCAUGCCGCGUGUGUGAAGAAGGUCUUCGGAUUGUAAAGCACUUUAAGUUGGGAGGAAGGGCAGUAAGUUAAUACCUUGCUGUUUUGACGUUACCAACAGAAUAAGCACCGGCUAACUUCGUG
rnacentral:rRNA from 1 species